ACCCUUUGGCUUGUGGAUUACCAAAACAAUGAAUUGUGGACGAAAAUCCCCCAAGCAGAUGGUUCUUUGAUGGAAACGCGGGUGCCCUUGGGAGAAGGCGUUGCGGGCAUGGUGGCUCAAACCGCCCAGCCUUUGAAUAUUUCCUUUGACUUAUAUGACCAUCCCAACUCUGAUAUUGCUAAAAAAACCGACGAGAAAACACGUUAUCGCACUUGUAGCCUACUAUGUAUGCCAGUUUUGAGUUGUGAUGGCGAUUUACUGGCUGUGACCCAAU
rnacentral:misc_RNA from 1 species